ncrna:Shewanella sp. MR-4 GEMM RNA
ACAGGCACACCCGUUGUGAAACGGGGUCGCAAAGCUUCGGAUCUUAUUGUACAGGCUGUUAUUAAGAUGGCUGAGUUGCCGAA